GAUGCAUGAUGAUUUGUAGGGAGGUUAUUGCUGAGUUGAAGGCAGCUGGUGCUACUUGGAUUCAGUUUGAUGAACCCACACUUGUUCUUGACCUUGACUCUCACCAAUUGGCUGCAUUCUCUGCUGCAUACACAGAACUUGAGUCGGCACUUUCUGGAUUGAAUGUGCUUAUUGAGACAUACUUCGCUGACAUUCCUGCUGAAUCAUACAAGUAUGUUUAUUUCCUGUACUAUCGUAUCAUUACCAAACCCGCCUUUCCUUUAGCAUGCUUUUUCUUUUUAGUGGCAGAACACUGAUACUGCCUUUUCACUGCAGGACCCUCACAUCCCUGAACAGCGUGACUGCUUAUGGUUUUGACCUUAUCCGUGGAGCCAAGACUCUUGACCUUAUCAAGAGUGCUGGUUUCCCCUCUGGAAAGUACCUCUUUGCCGGUGUUGUGGAUGGACGCAACAUCUGGGCUGAUGAUCUCGCUGCAUCUCUCACUACCCUUGAGUCUCUUGAGGCUAUUGUUGGAAAGGGUAAGCAAUUAAGCAUGAAGUUAUUAUAUCUGUUAUAUUUUAAUAGGUACAAUUUGCUGUAUCCAAUAAUAUCCUCAAUUUCUGCACAUCCAACAAUACCUUUCAUUUCUGCAGACAAGCUUGUGGUCUCGACUUCCUGCUCACUCAUGCACACCGCUGUGGAUCUUGUAAAUGAGACCAAGCUCGAUAGCGAGAUUAAGUCAUGGCUCGCUUUUGCUGCCCAAAAGGUGGUUGAGGUGAAUGCCCUUGCUAAGGCAUUGGCUGGACAGAAGGAUGAGGUAUGGUACUCUCUUUCACCCUUUAUUUAUUCUCUCACCUCUUAGUAAGAGAUCAGGCUUAGUUCUCAAUAUUAUUCGGAGAAACUUCUGCUGCUGCUCAGGCUUACUUUUGUACAUUUGUAAACAAUAUUGUACAGGCUUACUUUGCAGCAAACGCUGCUGCUCAGGCCUCCAGGAGGUCAUCACCUCGUGUGACAAACGAGGAAGUCCAAAAGGCUGUAAGUACCUUGCGUUUUUGGCCAGCAUUUGCUGAUUUCAUAUCAACAUAACUUCACAUGUUUUUCUUAAACACAUGAUAUUGUUUGUGAAGGCUGCUGCUCUGAAGGGGUCUGACCACCGCCGUGCUACCAAUGUUAGCGCUAGACUGGACGCACAGCAGAAGAAGCUCAACCUUCCAGUCCUUCCUACAACCACAAUUGGUUCAUUCCCACAGACUGUGGAGCUCAGGAGAGUCCGCCGUGAGUACAAGGCAAAAAAGUGAGUAACAGUCCACAUCAACGCUUCACUUGUUUCCCUUCUUUCGUCUAUAUUACUCAUAGCAAAAUACUGCUACAGGAUCUCUGAGGAGGAGUACAUCAGUGCCAUCAAGGAGGAAAUCAGCAAGGUUGUUAAGAUCCAGGAAGAGCUUGACAUCGAUGUCCUUGUUCACGGCGAGCCUGAGGUCAGUAUCCUUGUGUACUGUUUGUGUUUUCUAGACUUUGCACCUGGCUGUUUGAGAAAACAAAAUAAAUAUAUUUAUUGAAGCAUUAACAAAGUUUGGUUUGUUCUGCAUUGAAGUAAGCUAAUUGGCAUGUAUUUUAUACUUUCAGAGAAACGAUAUGGUUGAGUACUUCGGUGAGCAGCUUUCUGGUUUUGCAUUCACUGCCAACGGAUGGGUGCAAUCUUAUGGAUCACGGUGUGUCAAGCCACCAAUUAUCUAUGGUGAUGUGAGCCGCCCCAACCCCAUGACUGUGUUCUGGUCCAAGUUGGCGCAGAGCAUGACCUCUCGCCCCAUGAAGGGAAUGUUGACUGGUCCCGUCACAAUCCUUAACUGGUCUUUUGUCAGGAAUGACCAGCCGAGGUCAGUGCCUGUUGUUGAUAAUGUAAUCUAAUUUGUUCUGGUUGUGAAUGAGCAUUCUUUUCUGAGUCUGACAUUCAUACGCUGGCUCAGGUUUGAGACAUGCUACCAGAUUGCUCUUGCCAUCAAGAAGGAGGUCGAGGACCUUGAGGCUGGUGGUAUUCAGGUUGGUCCUGUUCUAUAAUUUGGUUCUCAAGAGAAUCUUGCUUACGUUUUUUUAAUGGUCCUUUGCAGGUCAUCCAAAUCGAUGAGGCUGCUUUGAGAGAAGGUCUGCCACUCCGCAAGGCGGAGCAUGCUUUCUACUUGGACUGGGCUGUUCACUCCUUCAGAAUCACCAACUGCGGUGUUCAGGACACCACCCAGGUAAUUUGCCUUGAUUACACUGUCGCUGGAGCCUCGCAUUGUCAUCGCCUAUCUUCUGGAGCUAAGAAAUUUCUCUUUGACAGAUCCACACCCACAUGUGCUACUCUAACUUCAACGACAUCAUCCACUCCAUCAUCAACAUGGACGCUGAUGUGAUCACCAUCGAGAACUCCCGGUCCGACGAGAAGCUGCUCUCCGUCUUCCGCGAGGGUGUGAAGUAUGGUGCUGGCAUUGGCCCUGGUGUCUAUGACAUCCACUCCCCAAGGAUCCCGUCCACAGAGGAGAUUGCGGACCGCGUCAACAAGAUGCUCGCGGUGCUCGACACUAACAUUCUCUGGGUGAACCCUGACUGCGGUCUCAAGACCCGCAAGUACAACGAGGUCAAGCCCGCCCUUACCAACAUGGUUUCGGCCGCCAAGCUCAUCCGCACCCAGCUCGCCAGCGCGAAGUGAGGAUAUCCAUAGCUGCAAGUUCCCUUCGGUUGCGAGGACGAUGCCGUCAUAGCCAUCUGUUUUUGAAUAAUCUGGGUCCAGUGGAUCCAAUUGUCUGUGGUUAGGUUUAGUCAGUCUCGGUGGGAAGAUCCCUCAUACCCGUUUUACUUUUGAAUCAAUUUGGUGGUUUUUGAGGCAGUUUGUCGGUGUAUUUGUAUUGUGUGUAAUCUGAGUGGGAAUCAGCAGUGUUUCAUCUGCAUCUGAAUCGUUGCGGAUCAAAUUACAAAAUUUUCAAGGAGAGUUCUUGAUGUUAUGGUCUUCCAACUACCUAAGUGUUUUGUGUCAGUUGUUCACCUGAGUUGAGAGUGGUUGAUUUCUGAUGAUUCCUUGCUGGUGGAGAUCACUUUGCAUUUUAUUUAGAUAUAAAGCCAGUCACUUGAAAUAGUUAGAUGUUGGGAUUUGAACACAUUGUUGUAAGCAUGCAACAUUAGCAAACUGUUCAUGGUCAUUUCUGGUCUGGUUGCUUGGAUCAGGACAUGAAAUGGAUUGAAAGUGGAACAAAAGUAUGCUUGCAAUGAGCAGUACCAUUUUGGUUAUUGUGGUCUUUGAGUGUAUGCAUUUGCAUUGCAGGUGGUGUUAAUUUACAUGUAAAUCUCAUUAGCUUAACAAAUACUGUACUUAAUUACAUAUCACAAUUGGCAAAUUCAUGCUCUUUUUCGUCAGAGACAUGAGAAGAGUGGCUGUCUUGCUUCUUUCUAGCUACCACGGUGCGACACGGGACAUGAGUCAUGACAAGCACCGUCGUAUGGGUCCACGCAUGAAUCUAUUAAAAACCUAUUAAAAACGUUUUCUUAUAAUGUGAAACGGGUGUUCCAUCGGUUGCUCAUAUUUCCUAAUAAAUUUAAACAGCUUAUUAGGGAAUAAAAAUUAUUUUAUACAUAAAACUUUUAUAUAUUUGUUCGUAGCGAAUUAAAAGUCAAUGAUAAAAAAAAUUACGUUAAAAAUAUCUCAAAAAUCAAUUUCCAAAUCAAGUUGAAAAUUUUAAAUUUUGGUUUAUUAGGCGAACCGACGGGGGUUUAUUGGAUCAUGACAUGUUUCAGCGUGUGGCCUUGACAAAGAUAGUGAUGUGCAAGUAGAAAAUCCAUGGAAAUUAUCGACGAGUUUUUAGUUUUGACCCCAGCACAGAGAUGAUUGGCUCUAUCUACUACUCCAUCUUUGGUGAAUCACAGCCAUAAUAAUUUUUUUUUCUGUUCAAAAUCUGAAUUUUGUGACUGCACUCCCAUUUUCACCCAAGUAAGUGUGAACUUCCCCUGAUUGCAACCUUGAAAAAAUGAAGUGCAUAUGCAUAGAGUCAGAAUAACAUUUCAUUAUCCACCAACCCCCAUGGGAGUUAGGAGCGCCUAACAUUUCUUCUUCUUUGAUAUCCACCAACCCCCAUGGCCCCACAUAAGUAAGCAUCAUUGAUCAACUCCCCUCUACCAUGACAUGAACACAUAAACUCCUGCCUAAUAUUCUCAACAAAAUGGACUUCCCAUGAUACAAAAAUACUCAACUUCAUGCAUGCAAAAUGAGGAGAUAUUUGCAGCUAAGGUGACCCCAUCAUGGUUGUUAAGAGUAGGAGGAGCACCAAUUGAAGGAUUUCAAGUAUAUUCCAUGUUCAUUCUUGAUUGGCACGAUCUAAUCAAGAUUCCAGUAGUUUCAAAAAAGAAAAAAAAAGAAAAUCAAGAUUCCAGUGAAGCACUUUAAAUUUCCACUACUCCUACUGCUCCAGUCUCCACAUGGUUUGCAUUGAGUUCUAAGAUAGUCAGUGCUCAGUACCAUGUUGUAUAUGAUGAACAUUCAUUUGCAUUUGGAGUUGGACAAAAGGAGUUCUGCAAAUGUAAACUGAGUUUCAGACUUUUUAUACAUUUCUGAUUUCAGUAACAUUGCAUCUACAGCAUAAACGAUCUGCUUAACUUUAUGGCUAACUUUAUACAUUGGUUGGCUAAACUCUUGUUAGAGUACUUCCUAAGUGGGAUUUGGUAUAAGUAAAGGUUCAUUGAAUCCAGACAUAUUGCAGACUAUCCCAGAUCGACAAAAAACUGUGGCUUGAAAGUUCAGUCACACCUCAUCUCAAGAAAAUUUCCUCUCCAAGCUCUUCUCAGGAUUCAUCAAAAGUUGGUUAAUUUACUGAACCCAAAGCCAGACACAAUUUUAUUUUUUCAAGGAGCUUGGAUCCAACACUGAUGUGAUUAAAAAACCCCAAACCUGGAUCAAAUAAAUCUUGUACUACUACAAUAGUACUCUACUGUACUAGUACUGCAACUACAAACAAGACACAUGAAGACAAUGUCACGUGAAGAUCUGCCAUUGGUCCGUGCUGCCUCCAAUGGCGAUAAAAAACUGUUUACUUUGUCGGUAACUGUAAUUAGCGACUGAUAAUUCGUGUUUACUUAUUAUAAGCUUGAGGCUCUAUAUGUUGCAGGACAGCAUGGACAGCAAUCAUGCAAGAACGUGCUAUCACAGUCAGUACUCACAGCCUCUUGUCCCUUUCUAUGGGAAUAUAAUAGUCCCUUCAAUUCUUUUUCUUAAUUUUUCUCCUCUAAAAUGAAUGACUGAAUUGUCUAAAUUAAGUUGUAUGCGAGAUUGUUUGUGCAGCAUUUUAAGGUAGACUAUAGUGGAGAAUUUGUUGGUGUUCAGUUUUCUCUUUUGAGAAAUAGUGUCAUCAGUAUGUUUUACUAGCUUGUACCCAAAAUUUCCCUACUUCCUUAUUUAUCAUUUAAAAUUGUCUCUUCCACUGUGUUUUCAUAAUUUUAAGAGGGUGGGUAGACAGGAAUCAAAGUGGUAAAGAGCUUUAGUAAAAUGUCUAGAUCCCUCACAGAUUCCUUCACAAAUUAUUCAAGAGGACUGAAUUCUCUGGAUACAAAAUAUUUCUUUGUUGAUCGUAUCUCAUAUCACAAUCCAUUGGAAAAGAUGGAGGGUAAUUCCAAAGGAAAAGUGUAUACUGGACUAAACUAAAUUAAACAAUUUUUAAACUUCACACAAAAUGAAACUAUGACAACCGUGCAAGAGCCUCCAGGCCACCAUCUCACCAACCACAGCCUCUCUCACCAACUCUGCUCCUCCAAUUGUUAAUUUAAGGAGAGAAUGACUUUUCUUUUAGCUAAUAACUAUACUAAUACUAUAUUUGUGCUCAAUAAUUACGUGACUUUCGGCACUAAAAAAAUGGAGUUACAUUUGUACAUGUAUAGCUAGCUAGCAUUAGCCCAUAAUACGAUGUGGUAAACCAUUAUUUAAUUUAGUCGUCAUGCCUCAUCAUGCAUAAACGUGGAAAAGGCAGACAAACUUUCUCAAAGGCAGCUUUUUUUGUUUUUGGUGGAAACACAAUUGGCUUGAGUUGGGUACAUGAUCAUAGCUACACACAGAAAAAAAAACUUCUGAAAUAAUCAGAUAUGUAAACCUUAGCUAACAAUAAACAAUUAUUUUUGAACAGCUUGGUCAGAAUAUAUUUUCAAACAACAGUAAUGAAAAACAGGUCAAACUUACAACAAAUAAUAUGAAAAAUAUUUCUCCAUUUUCUUGAGAAAACAAAUCAAAUCACAACCCACAUGUAUAUUUGAAACUACUAUUAAAAAUGGAUAUUUUAGCCACCGAGAUAUUACAUAAUAAUUUCUAAAUUAGUUUUCUAUGCGGCAAGAGAUGAGGAUCAUAAUCAUUAAAAGUAUGCAUAUUAUGAUACUAUGUUAAGUGGAACAAGUCCUAAUUUGUAGUGAUCCAUCAUUUAACCUGGACAAUUAAUCUCUACCCACACUAAAAUGGUGCAAGCUUAGCUACACAUCAUACACAGAAAAACACAAUAUUGCACAAUCUAGAGAUGCCGUAGACUCGAAUAGUCAUUUUCCAUGUAAAUAUGAUAUUAUAAUUAACUCAUGCGUAGGCUAAUGUAGCAAUAGGGAUAUGGACAUUGUCAAAAGUGGUUUAAAAGAAGGUUAAUUAUGAUGAUAUGUGGUAACUGGAGCACGACCUAAUUUACGGUGAUCAUCCAUAACUUAACAUUGACAAUUACUCUUACCGACAAUAAAAAAAGGUUCAUGACUAAUGAAAUACUACCAGAUUUGAGUAUUGUACUGCACAAGCUGGUGUACUUGCACGACACAAACUUGUUUUCAGAUAAAUAUCCCAUACUGCAAUACUUUUGAAUACAUAUUUUUGUAAAUGGAGAUGUCAUUGGAGCGGUCCGAAGAACUAUGAUGACAUGGUAACUCAAGUACGACCUAAUUUACAGUGAUCAUCCAUAACUUAACAUUGACAAUCAAUCUUACGGUCUUACCAACACUAAAAAGGCUCAUGGUGAAAUGAAAUGCUACCAUAUUUGAGUAUUUGACAUGGGACACCCCAUACCAACUUGUUUUUAGGGGGAAAAUAAAUAUUUAGGACUGGUUUUGUCUGGGGCUUGACCUUAACAAUUUUUGCUAAUGUUAAAUUUCGGCAUAGCCUCUUUUGACAAUGUAAUACUAUUAAAAAUACCAAAUAUUUGUAAGGCCAAUUUAGGCCACAAAUGAAACCAACCUGAAUCUCUUUUAUUAAUAUAUUCUUAUUCUAUAUCCUUUAUAAAUGAAUUUCCCUAAAAAAUUAGCCCCAAUCCUAUAUGCUUAAUCCAUAAAUUAUUCUAACCAUCAACUAAAAAAACCCUAAAAAAGUUUAUUCUUGCAAUUGCUCAUGAUACCCUCUUGUAGCUCAUAGGUAUAUUUUUUCUAAAGUUCAAUAUUGUCGACGAGUGAUACUCGCGGACCGGAUGAGUAGAGUAUUGGGGUACGUUGGAACGAGGGUUUACAUAGUACGACAUCAAAGCAGACAAAAGGCAAGGAUUAUACUGGUUCAGACCCUUAUCAGGUAAUAGCCCUAGUCCAGUUUAUAUGGGAUUGAUGAUGAUGAGAACAGAUUACAAAGAGAGUAGUCAAAACAGAUGAUACCGACGAGAUCGUAGUCGAGGGUUUCGACGAGAUCUCUCGGCAAGUUGGCUCCGCGUACUCCAGCUUCGUAAGCUUUGGUGGGUGUGUUGGCGAAGAGAUUCUGAUCCGAACCUCUCCCAAGGGGUCCCCUUUUAUACCGUGAGUCAUCUUGAUCCCCAAGAAAGGUUUUGAGGAUAUCGGACCUGGGACGGUCUAACGGAAACUUUAUCCCUUACGAGUAGAACUUUAUAAAUCACUUGACUCGUAAAGAUAUUUUCCUUAAUUUGAAGUAACUUCCAUACGACAUAUAUGUAAAUAAUCCGUAUACGUAAAGGUAUACCAUAUUGGUAUAUUUCACAAGUCGCAGGAUAGAAGGUAUGCCUUAUCCGUAACCCUGACAAAUAUCCCUCUUACUAACUAGAAAUAAAAUAAUUAGUUCAAACUCCCAAAAUGGUGCUAUCUAUAUAGACACUAUAUAUAUUACCAUUUGCAAAAAAAAAAAGAAGAAGAAGAAGAAGAAGAAAAAUAUUCCCUUCAUUUUUAUCUAGUUGACGCGGGUUAGUUCCAUUUUGCACUAACCAACAUCAAAUUUUUUAAAAAGGAGGGAUUGUAUAUUAUCACAAUAGUUUUUAAUACAUACAUGGGAAAGGCCAAAAGUCGCAUAACAACAAAAGGGUAAAUGUGCUUUUCAUCGAAGAAAAAGAAGUUCAAAAUCUACCCUUAGUCCAAAUGAUCAUGACAAACAAAAUAGGACAUAAUCCCUGCGGUUCCAUAAUUCUUGACGUCCUUACCAAUAACACAGGGCAUCAUUUUUUCGCUUAUGCUUAUAUUUAUCAGCCAAAAUUUGAAUUUUCAACCUUAAAUUUGGAGCUGAUUUUAAGGAUUUUUUUUUAUCGAAGUUUAUUUUUCAGCUUUUGCUUUUAGAUCGCUAAGAACGCACAUAUAAAAAUUUUAUUCACAUACUACUUUUCGUUUGCAAAUAUGCCAUUUCGCUUAUUCCGAGAAUAAGUGAAACAAUGGCUCCAAUAGUCUUUAAAAUAUAUCUUUGAUUAUGUUUUUAUCUUAAAUAUAUAUACAUAUAUAAUAAAUAAAUAUAAUUUUACUUUUAUCAUAAUAUUUUUGAAAAAUAAAUAUCUCUAUGUAUAUUGUUCUAUUAUAUUUAUAAACUAAAUACUUUUAAAUUAUUUGUACUUCUAAUUAAAUUUAUAAAAGUUUCACCUCGACCGAAUUAUGAAACCGUUGCGAGUAUAAGAGAAAACACAAUCUUAACAAAACAUUAAGAUGAAAAGGAUGAAACUUUUCAUCUUAAAAAACCGUGCACAAAACACAAUCCUAAUAAGUACUUCAUUCGUUUUAUAUUAUAAGACUUUCUACCAUUUCUUUUAUUUAUAUAGAUGUUAAUGAAUUUAUACGUAAUAUGAAACGGAAUGAAGUAGUAAAACAUUCAGAUGAAAAAGAUGAAACUUUUCAUCUGAAAAACCGUGCACCACCAGAUGAGCCUCUGCUUUCAGAUCUCACCAACCAACCAAAAAAAAAAAUCUCCUCUCUUCUUAUAUAAAUAAGGAACUCUCCCAAACCCCUCUUCUCCGUCCUCCUCCUCCUCCUCCCUCGCCGUCCGCCGCCGCCGCUCGCUUCCUCCCCUCUCCCACGGUAAGCCCGCGCCGCCGCUCUCUCCCUCUCCUCCGUCACCCUUCCCUUCCUCCGAAUCGGCCGAGUCUGUCAGCGACGGAGACCGCGCCGGGAUCCGUGCCCAUUCGCGUAGUAGCGGCGAGCGACGGUUUUUUUUUUUUUUGCCUGCAAAGUCGGUCGCUUUCGUGUGGCGUCGGGUCGGGGAGAAUGGAUCGAUCUGUUCGUCUUGAUCGGAUGGAUUGAUCGAUCAAUCGAUCUUGGUGGGAUCCGAUCUGAAUGAGGUUUUUGGGUUAGGAAAUGGAGUGAAAGAUUGGACUUUUUUUUUUGUCGGUGUGUUGCACGGUUCGUUUAGGAUUGGAUCUGUGUUUUCUUCCGUGGAAAAUCUUCCAUUUUUCACUGCAAGUGCACAUUUGUGGCCUCUUCAGUACUUGUGUUUCUAAACCCGGGGGGUUUUUGGAUCUGACACCGAGGUUUAGUCCGUGUUGUCAUAUGUUUUUUCUCAAAUUCUGUUACGAUAUUCUCCUAUUAUAAAUGCAUUACGGUGUACUAGACCCUGUGAUCUGUGGAGUACAUGUUAAGGUCGUGCUUCCAGUACCAUCGCAUCUACUGUCAUUUGGUUGCCAUCUCGUAUUAUUUGGUUAGGAAUUUGCAAUUGCCUGCAUGCUAAUAAAUGAAUUGUUGUUUGUAUGGCAUGCCAAACAAGAUCCAACUACUUUGCUGCUGGUGUGAGAGGGACAGUGUCUCCCACCAAUUGUAGUUGGUCUUAUGUACCCACCACUUUGGGCUGGGUCCUACUACAUGCUAGUGCUGGUUGGUGGUGUACCUAACCCAUAUACUAGUAUCAGUUUAGUCUAUUCUUUUAGCACCACUGGAUCUGGUGAUAUAGCCCCAUGUAUAGGAAUCAGGAAGAUUAGUAGAACAGAAAACACAAAAGUAUGCUUUAAUAGUUGGAUGGCAUAUACCUUUAUUCGGAUCACCGUUCCAAAUGUGACGUUAGUAUCCGUUAGUGGCAUGCUUUUUAAUCUAACAAGGCGUUCUUCAUCGUGUGGUUAGCAUAUGGAUAUGUGUAAUCUUGUUAGCUAAAUCAUAAUUUUCGUAUGUAUUCACAUGACAUUUCGAUGAAUCAAACUGAUCGUAGUACAAUUGUUUCUAUAGAAAGAUGGCGUCUCACAUUGUUGGAUACCCCCGCAUGGGCCCCAAGAGGGAGCUCAAGUUUGCCCUGGAGUCUUUCUGGGAUGGGAAGAGCAGCGCUGAGGAUUUGGAGAAGGUUGCGACCGACCUCAGGGCCAGCAUCUGGAAGCAAAUGGCUGACGCUGGGAUCAAGUAUAUCCCCAGCAACACCUUCUCGUACUAUGAUCAGGUUCUUGACACGACCGCCAUGCUUGGUGCUGUCCCAGAGCGCUACUCAUGGACCGGUGGAGAGAUUGGGUUCAGCACCUACUUCUCGAUGGCUAGGGGAAAUGCCACUGUCCCUGCUAUGGAGAUGACCAAGUGGUUUGACACCAACUAGUAAGUACUUUGCUUCCAUUUAAGAUGUCUGACAGUAAACAUUUUAUUUAAUUUUUAUAUUCAACAUUUUAGCUAACUGGUGCUGUUUACCUUUACAGCCACUUUAUCGUCCCUGAACUUGGUCCCAACACCAAGUUCUCCUACUCUUCCCACAAGGCUGUGAAUGAAUACAAGGAGGCCAAGGCGGUAAGAUAAUAGAAUUAUAUCUUUACAUCUCUGUCUGCUUAAUGAUUUUUUUUCUCUGCCUGACUAGAUGUCGCUAGCACAUUGCUUAAUGUCAUCAAUAUCCUAGUUCAUAAAGUUAUUUAUUAGUUUAUUUUGUUGCCUUUUGUUAUGAUGCUAAUUCAAACAUCAAGUUUUAGUAGUGAUCAAUUGUUUCUUAGUUGUGCAUUUAUAUAAUAAUUUUGUUUAGAAAAGAAUCUGAUGUAGAUUAAGUGCUGGCUUGUAAAUUAUGUUUUGGAAGAUUGUCACUUCCACAGAUUAAUGGCCUGUAAAUGACAAGCCCACCAAGUCAGUUCGUUUCUUUAGUGCUGUAUUAAUACGGCCAAACAAAUUUUGGCCCCUUGCUUAGAAUUUUGAAUGUAGCACUUUCAGAUUGACUAUGACUAGAGUUCACUUUAAAGGUUAUGAAAUAAUUUUUUUGCACUAUAUGUUGUUUUCAUCUUUUUUCAAAAAGCUGCCCAUGUUGAUCUGUGGCAAUAUUUUUUUUUUCUAAUUUCACAUAUUCUUUAUUGGUGAUUGGUGAAUUUACCUGAAAAGUUCUUUGAUUAAAUAUGUUAUCUUGUUCCAGUUUGUGAAUAGUGGCACUGCUGUUUCAAGCAUCAAAUUCUGAAUUUUGUUGUAGUCCUGAAAUGAAAAUCACAGUGCCCUAUUUAUUAAGAUGUAAUCUGGUUGCCUUAAUGUCUCCUAUGUAAUUGUUCUUCAUGCAGCUCGGCGUUGACACCGUGCCAGUACUUGUUGGACCAGUUUCAUACUUGUUGCUCUCCAAGCCUGCCAAGGGUGUAGAGAAGUCGUUCGCUCUUCUUUCCCUUCUCAGCAGCAUCCUUCCUGUCUACAAGUAAGUGUACAAACAAGUCUAUAACUACUGCUAGCGCUAAAUCUUCAGUUCAUAAUUUGAUGCAUGAUGAUUUGUAGGGAGGUUAUUGCUGAGUUGAAGGCAGCUGGUGCUACAUGGAUUCAGUUUGAUGAGCCCACACUUGUUCUUGACCUUGACUCUCACCAAUUGGCUGCAUUCUCUGCAGCGUACACAGAACUCGAGUCGGCACUUUCUGGAUUGAAUGUGCUUAUUGAGACAUACUUCGCUGACAUUCCUGCUGAAUCAUAC
rnacentral:lncRNA from 1 species